CCUGACGACCAUAGCGAGCGUGAACCACCCGAUCCCAUGCCGAACUCGGAAGUGAAACGGCUUAGCGCCGAUGGUAGUGUGGAGUUUCUCCAUGUGAGAGUAGGUCAUCGUCAGGC
rnacentral:rRNA from 1 species